rnacentral:lncRNA from 1 species
AUAGAAGUCCAAAGGAUUUAAAUCUGGGCUGUUGGGAGGCCAAAAUUCUUUGGACCAAAACAUGUUGAUGUUGUCUAACAACAAUUUUGCACCAAAUAAAUUGUGUGCAUGGGUGCAUACAAGUCAUUUGGUCGAUUCGAUGUAUAGUUUUUUCACUCACGCUGACAACCAAUGACAAUUUUCAGAUUGACUGCCCUGGAUCCUCAAAAAUCGGCUCCUGAGCCCGUUGAAUGAUUUUGGGCGUCCUGACAAUGUGCUCCUUUGAGUGAGUUUUCCUUGCUGGUGUUGCCAAACCUUCGUUGGACUUUUCCAACUCAUUAUACUUUGCAACAAUAUCAUACACAGUCAAUCUUUGGUACCCGAAGAAUCGAAUGAUUUCUGUCGCUGAGCGCCCAGUGCAAACACUUCCGAUAAUUGCAGCUCUUUGAUUAUACUCCACACCUGAUUUCAACAUUGUGACUGUUUCAAGGUUAUGAUGUUUAGUACGUACGUCAAGCUAUUUGGAUGCCAAUUGUGACUUCUGGAAGUGGUAUAGAACAGCGGGAAAUUCAAAUUGAAUUUUGUCUGGAUUUUGGUGCUGCACCCUAUAUAAACUUAAAAAUGGAUAUAAACAAUAAACUGCAAAUCUUAUCUGACAUUAUCACAAUAUACACACAUGGAGAAAAGAAUGCCACCUAUUAUACUGAUAACACAAUAAAGUUUUGUUUAGCUUAUUUUAUAAAUUAUUUACCGACCACUUCCAUGCAUGAGAAAAAGAACUUGGGUCAUUACUAUUGACAAUACAAUCAUUUUUUACACAUUUAAUUAUCUCACUCAAUCCCAUAAUGAUUGAUUCAUUUUUGAACUUGACACAUUUCACCAUUUUCAUUUCCAU